rnacentral:rRNA from 1 species
CACAGUCGCCGCGGUAAUACGUAGGUGGCAAGCGUUGUCCGGAAUUAUUGGGCGUAAAGGGCUCGCAGGCAGUUUCUUAAGUCUGAUGUGAAAGCCCCCGGCUCAACCGGGGAGGGUCAUUGGAAACUGGGAAACUUGAGUACAGAAGAGGAGAGUGGAAUUCCACGUGUAGCGGUGAAAUGCGUAGAGAUGUGGAGGAACACCAGUGGCGAAGGCGACUCUCUGGUCUGUAACUGACGCUGAGGAGCGAAAGCGUGGGGAGCGAACAGGAUUAGAUACCCCGCGUAGUCCCUGUCUCUUAUAC